GCUGUUUGAAGAUCUGUAUGGACUCUGAUAAACCCCCUUCUUCAGGCAGAGAAUUUCACAUCCUUAUUGUUCUUAAAGUAAAAAAACCUUUCCUUUGCCUUAGACGAAAUCUUCUUUCUUCCAGUUAAUGCGGCCCUGUAUAUAAACCCCAAAGUGUCAGGCCUCUCUCUUUACAUUUGAGAAAGUUCUUAGUAGACAAAACGUGUUGUGU